rnacentral:lncRNA from 1 species
GAGGAGGGUGAAAUGCAGGAGGCGAACGGUACGUGCGUAAUUUUUUUCAACUUCUGUCAUCUCAUCUCGUGAUAUGCAAACGUAUUCAAUUUCUCUUCUUGAAUAAUUUUUUCUUUAUCUUCCAACCAGACGGGGAAGGCGAAGACGAACGGAGCCCACAGAUGACGACCAUGUUGAGGAGGGUGAAAUGCAAGAGGUGAACGAUAUGUGCGUAAUUUUUGUUAACUUCUGUGAUUUGGGUUCUAUUACCAAUCACUUCCCCAUUACGCAAAUGAUAAUUCAUAUCUUGUGUUUGUCCAUUUCACCCAAUUUGCUUUCAACUAGACCCAGGAGAGACCGUCCCCACGCUUCCCAGGGACGACAACAAGGAAGCCCCAUCGACCCAUGACUUCACGAAGGUGGACAGUACGUGCCUAUUUUAAACGGGUCCAUCUUAUUCCAUGACUAUGUGGCCUCCUUCACACAUAACUGUUUCACUAAAAUUUUGAAAUCUUUUAUAUAGACGCUGCCACAGAGUUGCCGAGACAGGUGACCGUAGCAGAAAAGGG